UAUUACGGACCUCCUGCGCGCUUCAGAUUUGCUUGGGUAAUUGUUCAGUUCAUGUUGAUUUCAUUUGAUUCAAUCUUGCCAUAGCCGCGUGUUCUUCAAUUACACUGCAAAUCUGGCUUAGUAAGAGAUUCGAGUCGCUAGGAACUAGGAAGGGAUGGUCUGUUAGUUAGGAAAAUACAUAGAAGCCAUCAACUUGAGUGGUCGGAUUGCGUGGAGUAGCGCGGAUUCGUGGAAUCUGGCAAGGAAAAUGUGCAAAGCUUGGCCGAAUUUUCCACGGAAGGUUCGGUUUUUUUGGCUUGCUAGAGAAUGAUCCUGAUGGUGAUUUUGCAGCUUGAUUUGUCAAAUUAGUGGAAAUGUGGAAUAUUGUAAGAGUCAGACAAGCAUGGACCUGCAACCGUGUUUGACGGAUACAUGUUGAGUUUGACUUCAACUUGGCGGUGGUUACUUAACUGCUUCGUGUUCCCAUUUUCUGCUUCGCAAAUUGUUCGCGAAUAACUGAUUGCUUAGUUAUGCAUCUAUACUCUAAUUGUUCCAUUAGUUGCAACCAAACUAGUUCGGCGAUUAAUCAAUUAUUCUGAUUGUUUAGAAGGUUGUGAAUGAAAUUUUUCUUUUUUCCAAUAAAGGAAUGAAACUUUCCUAUGAACGAGUGAAUUACAUUAGUGCCUCUUUCGGUUCUAGCAUGAUGUAUCCCCGUGAAAAAUAUACUAUGUUGUAUUGAUCAUGGUUAGCAAUGGAAGUUGAGAGUUGGUAGGAAAUCAACUGAUAUAAGCGCACACUUCUCAGUUCUGAUGCCUCUACAUGGAUGCCAGAACUCUCUGCUAGUGUAGAACGUGAAUUUGUUUUCGGUGAUACAACAGUACAUCACUGUGAUGUUUAUUUGUUGAUUUUUUUCACAUGAUAUGCAUAGGGAAAUGCCUUCCCAUUCCGUCACUGAAGAUUGAACAGCCAUUUAGCAUAGCCUUUUCUAGUUGGGGCUGCUGCUUGCUAUCUUAUUGGUUUACUUUCAAAAAUACUCCAAAAGACAUUUACCUGCCCUUACUCCUUAGUAUGCGUGGGAAUUAUAUCUUUUAGUGCUCCUACAUUCGGUGACUACCAACAAACUGUCCAGUUAUACUGAAACUACCAUGUUUACUUGGCUUCUCGUCUGCCCGAUCGUCAUUUAACUUCUCAAAUUGCUUACCAUUCCGUCUCGUUUCCACGUUAAGCAUAACCAAUCAAUUUAUGUGCGCACAUACAAACUGAUUCCAGCUCACUUGGUUCCUCAUCUGCCUCAUACAAAAGAUGAUGCAUGUUCUGAAGUUCAUUCACUGGUCUGGUUAAAUAUUUUUGAAGCAACGGAAGUGGGAAAUAUUUAAGUUAUAUCCCAUGCUGUAGCUUGUGAGCUUGGAUGGCUUAUUGCUGAAUGAAAAAAGCAGCAACAUAAGGAAGCUGAUGUAGGUUUGGGGUCAACUUUGCUAGCUUGUAGAUGCAUCGGUGUUGCUAUGUCGUGUGGGUCAUGUUGAAACCUUCCUUUACAAUUUCGUUUUUGCUAAAUCUGGUUUUGAGCUGACAAUUAUGUUUAUUCUUCUUGUGCAAGGAGAUCAAGGCGAGGGCUAGAUGAUGGAUUUUGCAGCCUGCAGUUGUAUCCAUCACUUUGUAUGUGUAUGUACAAACCUGUGAAGAAAGUCAUGGUCAUAGGAUCUCCAAGUGCAGACGACAUCAUUAACCAGUCUUCAUUUUCUGUGAUAGAUUUUGUGUUAUUUUGAUUUUCAUUAUGUAGCCACUUGCCUGUGAUUAUACGGUGAUUGUAAAAUCAAAUAUACCCUGCUCCUAGACAUGUUUUGGAAUCAGAA